rnacentral:rRNA from 1 species
AUUGAACGCUGGCGGCAUGCCUUACACAUGCAAGUCGAACGGCAGCACGGGAGCAAUCCUGGUGGCGAGUGGCGAACGGGUGAGUAAUAUAUCGGAACGUGCCCAGUCGUGGGGGAUAACGCAGCGAAAGCUGUGCUAAUACCGCAUACGAUCUACGGAUGAAAGCGGGGGAUCGCAAGACCUCGCGCGAUUGGAGCGGCCGAUAUCAGAUUAGCUAGUUGGUGAGGUAAAGGCUCACCAAGGCGACGAUCUGUAGCUGGUCUGAGCAGACGACAAGCCACACUGGAACUGAGACACGGUCCAGACUCCUACGGGAGGCAGCAGUGGGGAAUUUGGGACAAUGGGCGCAAGCCUGAUCCAGCAAUGCCGCGUGCGGGAUGAAGGCCUUCGGGUUGUAAACUGCUUUUGUACGGAACGAAAGGGUGAGCUCUAAUACAGUUUGCUAAUGACGGUACCGUAAGAAUAAGCACCGGCUAACUACGUGCCAGCAGCCGCCGUAACAC